rnacentral:piRNA from 1 species
UGGUCUCUCAGUUGACCUCAGG